ACAAGUUCUCCUCUCUCCUCUCUCUUUUCCCAAGCGCCUUACCCCCCCCUCUCUAACCCCCAACUAACCAAUGCGCACACACAAACA
rnacentral:ribozyme from 1 species